AUUGAACGCUGGCGGCAUGCCUUACACAUGCAAGUCGAACGGCAGCACGGGAGCAAUCCUGGUGGCGAGUGGCGAACGGGUGAGUAAUAUAUCGGAACGUGCCCAGUCGUGGGGGAUAACGUAGCGAAAGCUACGCUAAUACCGCAUACGAUCUAUGGAUGAAAGCGGGGGAUCGCAAGACCUCGCGCGAUUGGAGCGGCCGAUAUCAGAUUAGGUAGUUGGUGAGGUAAAGGCUCACCAAGCCGACGAUCUGUAGCUGGUCUGAGAGGACGACCAGCCACACUGGACUGAGACACGG
rnacentral:rRNA from 1 species